UGGCUCAGUGGUAGAGCGCUUGCUUGGCAUGCAUGAGGUUCUGAGUUCAAUUCCUCAG
rnacentral:tRNA from 1 species